rnacentral:lncRNA from 1 species
ACUUGUCCUUGUGAGUUUCUGACAUGGUCCUCCUCUGUCUCUUCCUUGCCAGCUUGGCUGCCACCCCUCGGGCUGGGGUCACUGGGGCAUGGCCCACCAGCGGCCUCUCCAUUCUGGCCCAGCUCCAGCUGUCCUGUGAGCUCAGGUGGACUCAGCUUUCCAGGUCAUCCUGGAGGGAUCUGGUCAUGACCACAUCACUCUGGAUUCUGGUUCAUUUCCAGCAUUUUUCCCAGGAGACUACAACUCAGAAGCAGCUGGAUGAGAUGGGAGAGAUCCCCAGAGACAGCCAGGGUGGGAGACAGGACUUCCAUGCCCUCUCCUGUCCCACCGCCCCCCCCAGGAGACAGAGUCUUGCUCUGUUGUCCAGGCUGGAGAGCAAUGGUGCCAUCAUAGCUCACUGCAGCCUUGACCUCCUGGGCUCAAGUGAUCCUCCCACCUCAGCCUCCUGAGUAGCUGGGACUACAGGUGUGCACAACCACAGCCGGCCAAUUAUUUAUUUAUUGUCCAUCUCUCUAGUGAAAUGGUCCUGAAAGUUAGGUAUCAUGUUUUGUUUAACUCUUUAUCCUUAUCCUUAAUGCUGGGCACUGUUUUAUUUGACUCAAUAAAGACUUCUUGUAUGACUGAAUAAACCAGUGAGGGAAAAGGGGGGUGUCAGGAUGGGGAGAUCCUGACAUUGAGCUUUUGCCUGAACCUUGAAGGUGUUUGUUCAGAUUGGUGCCUGGGAAUAGAAGUGAUGCCCAGCUUUCUGCCAGAUGUAGAUCUUAGACUCCCACAGAGGGGACCGUCUGUAUCAAGGUCUCCAGGUGGUCCAGAGGACAGCAUUGUGUAUAAAAAAGCCCAGUGACCCCAAUGACAACAACUCUGUGAGCCUCUGGGCUUUCCUGUUGCGAUCAACAGAGGGGAAACUGUGACCUUUUUUUGUUUUGACAUGUAAUCAGCUCGUAGUAUAAUGCUGUGAAAAGAGAUGAGUUUAGGCUCAAGCAACAAAUAAACCUCAUUUGAAUUCUGACUCAACAAGCUAAUAGCUUGUAAAAUCAGGCUAAUUAUUUAACCUCUCUGAGCCUAUUUUAUAGGGCUGUUGUGAGGAUUAAAUGAAUAAUCCAUGUUAAAUGCUCUGCUCAGUGUUUGGUACCCAGAAAGAGCUGCCUAAUUAUUGCUGUUGUUGUUGCUGUUAAUAUUAUUAGUUGUCCCAGCUCUCUAAUAAUAAAUGAUUUGAGUAGGCUGCUUCCUUUCGCUGUAAGAUUAUCAUCUUUUUGGGGACAAGAUGACCUCUGCAGUCUCUCCAGCUCUAGGAUUCAGUGAUCAGGGGACUUUUAGAUCUCUCCCAUGCUGGAACUCUUUGAAGCAUUUCCAUGGGAAAGGAAAGAAUCACUUCUCUUUGCAGCCAUCUUCAAAUGGAUUGUCCUGGAAGAUAAGCAAAGAUGACACAUGUAGGAGAGGAAAGUCCAGUUCAAUCUGGCUCAGACCCUCCUGGAAUCUGGUACUUUUGGGUGGGACAGCAGACAGAUGUUCCAUGACAGCCAACAUCGUGUACUUCAGACUUUCUGGGAAUGAUGGCAGGAGAGGAACCAGAAGAGCAGGAUGACUUGAAUUUAUUUUCUUGGAAAGACUAUUUUGUUGGCAAGACUCAUCCCUGGCCUCAUAAAUGGACUGGAGGCUAAUGGACCAGGAAGAACUGCUCUAGAGCCGCUCCCUCCCUGCUGGUCAGGUCCAAGAACAUUGCCUCCAAGAGCAUGGACCCUGGCCCCAAUCCACACUUGCCUUCCCCUGAGGUCGCAGGCUGCCUUUCUGACCCUUUGAUGAUCUGUCUUUAAUCUGAUACAUGUGUAAUUUGAAUCCAUUUAGAUGAAAUUGUAGAGGAGGAAAAGAAGAGAAUGCAGAAAGGAACAAUGAUGCUAAGUAGCAUGGGCAAAGAACAGAGGCGUCUUGUGCAAUAGAUAGGCCUCUAUCCAACUGAGUGACAGAAACUCUAAAUUACUGUAGUUUAAUCAAAGUUAAAAUUUAUUGGUAUCUCACAUUAAAUUGUAGGGAGGCAGACGAGAGUUCUAACUGUGACUCUGCAAUCAUUAGUGACCGCCCUUGUUCUAUACCACUCCUCUGCCAUCUUCAAUAUUUCUAUUUUGUGGUCCAAGACAGUGGCUCCAAUUUUUGUCAUUACAUCUGCAUUCUAGCCAGCUGGAAAAAGAAAGAAAAGGGGAGGGGAAGGGCACAUACCUUCUCUUUAAGGACACUUCCCAGAAAUUGGACACAUUGCUUCAACUUAUAUCCCACUGGCCAGUACUUAGUCACAUGGCUACAUCCAGCUGUAGAGACACUGGAAAACAUGUCUUUAUUCCAAGUGGCUGUGUGGUCAGCUACUUUUUAUAUGGUUCUAUUAUUUUUUUAAAAAGCAAGAACAGGUAUCAGAAGACAAUUAGCAAUCUCUGCCUCCCUUGGAGACAAGAGUGGAUAUUACAGAUUGAUGUCAUAAAAAUUGCCACAGUCAGCCUUGGGUGUAAUCUCUAGAUCCAGGCAGCAAGAACCAAUUGGAAUCUUAUUCUGACCAGAUGCUAGCUGGGCAAUGCUGGGCACAUUGCUUAAUCUCCCUGAACUUCAGUUUUCUUUUCUGUAAAUAAUAGUAAUAACAAUGACUUCCAAGAAUUGUAAACAGAAUGAAAUGAGGGAUGUGUGUAGAGUGCUUCGUGCCCUUUUUGUAUGUAGACAUGGGCCAGCAGUAAAUAUUGAGGAUAACUCUAUUUGUUUUGGAUGCACAGCCUCCCUGAGGAUGCUCUUUUCCUCGGGAUUUCUAGUAUCAUCAUUCUUGUGACUAUUACCCACACCCUUCAGAAAAGCCAUCAUUUUCUCCUAGAUUGAUCUCUUUCUUGAAUUUUGAAUUCCCCUAAAAGCCAAAACCUCCAUUCUGUCAGGGCAGAACAGAGCCCUGAUGUUUCUAAAGAAAUAACUUACAGCCAGAAAGUAUCAGUAAAUUCCCUUUUCCAUGUUGCUUCAUUCUCUCAAGCAUGCAUGAAAUUUAGCCUUAAUAAGUGGUUAUUGUCCACUUACUAAUGACUGCUUAUGAAAACCAUGCCUGGGGCCUGCGGUACGGGCAUACAGCCCCAAGAACAGCUCCAACCUCCCCUUCACCUUCUCCUCCACCUGCUACCUAACAGCCAAAGUCUGUGCUUCUCCAAGAGGACUGUAGGAACCGUUAUCAUUGCAGAAAAGGAGCCUGUCUAGGCUGCUUCUCCCAACUCCAUCCCAGUAAUGAACUUGACCCUAAGAUGCAAGGUGUAUAAUCGUUUGAACCCGCUUGAACCCGCUUGAACAUAUCUGCUGGACUGAUGUCUUCUGCAGGCUGCAGAUCCUGCUCAUGGGCUGCAUGUGCUGCCGGAUGGAGGCAGGGUCAUGCCCUGAGUGUUUUCUUCAUAUGGCUCCAGUAGUGUUGUGUGUGAUUUCUGAUAAAAUUGAAGAAUAGCUAAUGAUAUUUGACAUUUGUUCAGAGUUUCGCAGUUCACAAAACAUUUUCAUAUGUCAGUAAAAAUAGCAAGGAUAAUACUAACCAUGU